rnacentral:rRNA from 1 species
AUGAACGGGAGUAGCAGGAGCAAGGAGGGAGGCGAGAAGCAUUUCCUUGAAGAUUCUAGGGUACUGGUGAAGCAAGUGAGGGAGCUGAGGAGGCUGGUGCCCUGCUGCCGCGAGCCGUGCGGGCUCGGCGAGCUGUUCCAGGAUGCGGCGACCCACAUCGAGGAUUUGCAGGUGCAGGUGAAGGUCAUGAGGAUGCUGCUCGACAAGCUCUCCGACGAGUGA